rnacentral:rRNA from 1 species
GUCCUUUUGUUUAUUUAUUUAAGGUCUGACCUGCCCAAUGAGGAAUUCAAUGGCCGCAGUAUUUUAACURUGCUAAGGUAGCAUAAUCAUUUGUCUUUUAAUUGAGGGCUGGAAUGAAAGGUUGGACGAGAUAUAAGCUUUCUUUGAUUUAAUUUUAAGAAUUUAAUUUUUUAGUUAAAAAGCUUAAAUUUAUUUGUUGGACGAGAAGACCCUAUAGAUCUUUAUAAUCUUAUAUUUAAAUAAUUUGGUGGUUGUAUUUAUUAUAAGUAAAAGGAUUAUUUUGUUGGGGUGACUGUAGAAUUUCACUAACUUCUAUUUGUUAGUUUCAUUGAUUGAUGUUUUUUUGAUCCAUAUUUUUAUGAUUAUAAGAUUAAGUUACCUUAGGGAUAACAGCGUAAUUCUUUCGGAGAGUUCAUAUUGAUGAAGGAGUUUGCGACCUCGAUGUUGGAUUAAAAUAAGUUAUGGAUGCAGGAGUCUAUAUACUAGGUCUGUUCGACCUAUAAAUUUUU